rnacentral:lncRNA from 1 species
CAGAUCCAAAUCGCGCAGGACCAGGCAUCCCAUCCAGGCGGUUAUUGGUCUUCUUGCGUGCGCAGGUGAGCCCUCUCCCUCUCUCCCUCCUCUGCGUGCUCCCUUUUUUUUUCCGAUCAAGCCGCUGUGUCGUGGCCAUGUCCCCUGCGACAGGGCGUCUUCAAUCCAUGGCUGCCUCCCCUGCGUGCUCCCUCUAUUUUCCUCGGUCGGCGGCGCGGUGUGGCCAGGCCCGAAGUCCUCGGGCGCGGCCAGCCCGCGGCUGGCCCAGCGCGACGGCCAGCGCGCGGCAGCCUGCGCGGCUCGUCCAGCGCGACGCGGGCGACCCCAGCACCCCGGCGUGCAGGCCCCGCGCGCCCUCGCACUGCUCCCUCGCGCGGUCGAGCUGUCCCUACGCAGGCCCCUGUACGUGUGUUUGUACGCGGCUGCAUUCUCCAUGCGGCUGCUCACCACGCCGUGCUGGCCCCUGCGGUGUUUGCCUCUCCUGUUAGCACGGUGGUCCAAGGCUCCCGGCGAGAUCCCCUGGUGGCCGAUUUCUUGUUCCAUUAGUGCCCAGGUCGGCCUCCCUUCUCUCCAUGCUGCUGGCGAGGGAGUUUUUCAUUUGUGAUCCAUCGUGAGGAGAGAAAGGAAGAAGCUAGCCACAUGUGAUCCUAAGCUUGGGAUCUUCUAUAGCUGUGUUUCGUGUGACCAUAUGUGUGGCCAGCCUCUAGCCAAUAAUAAUUAGCCAUAUCGAUUAAAUUCCGUAAAGUACUAAAUAAUUAAUAUAUGUCGAGUUAUAAAUCUGAUUCCCUUCGUUCAAUUUGCAUUAGCUUCAUAAUAACGCCACCGACGAGUUAACACUAUUAUUUUAUCGGGAUGCGUGUUUUAACUAAUUAAUUAAUUAUUGUUUAUCUGAUGGCUAUUAAAGUAGUGAUCUAAUUAAAACUAAUAUAUAGUUUUAAUUUGCGCAAGUAUAAAUGGACGUUAACAUGAUUUAUGUCAACUGAAAUGUUUAUAUUUGUUUAACAUGUCUUCAUUCUAAACACAAUACUGUUAAUGAUUUCCCGCUUGUCGUGUUGUUCGCGCACGUCGUCGCCUCGCUGUAGCGUUUGCGAGUUCAUGUCUUGCACUGUAGUAUGCGUAAUACCCGCGAGUUGUCGCGCGGACCGCUCGUGCUAUCUGCAUGUGUCGUUGUUGCUGUUCACAUGCGGUUCGCGCGCGUUGUCGCGUGCCACCUCGUUUAAAUUCCGCGAACCAUUAAAUAUCCAAUAUAUUUGUGUUGAAAAUCCGUUUCGACUUAUUUCUUUUAUGUUAGCUUCGUAAAGCUAUAUUAACGACGUAUUAGGUAACAUUACUUUAUCAUCAUGCACAUUCUAAUAUUAAUUAAUUGGUCAUCUAUUUAUCUGACAGUUAUUAAAGUAGCAAUCUAAUUGAACUUAUUUAUAGUUUAGAUGCACUUUAUAAAUACAUAUUAAUAUAAUUAUGCCUACUUAAAUAUUUUCGAACUAAUACUUGUUUAUAUAAACGAAUUCUCUAUUUAGUUAUUUCUCGCCGUCGCGCGUGCUGUUCCGCACGUGGUGACGUGCUGGUUCACGCGUCGUUCCUGCUAGUCGUGCGCGCUGUUUCGUGUGUUGUCAGCGUGCUGUGUCGCGCGUGUCCGCGCGUCGUUUACACGCUGUCGUGUUAUUUCGUGUAUCGUAAGUUCGCCUCGCGUAGAAUCUCUCAUGUUAAUUAAAUUACUAAUUUGACUGACAUUCAUUAGCAUAGCGGAUUAAUCGAACUAAAUUAUAGAUAUUACUUAUAAUUUACAAUGUUGAAUUAGAUAUUAUGAUUAACACUCGUUUAGUGUGGACGCGAUAACCUCUCGACCGUAGCCUCGACCGUCGCGUUUCUUUGUCCUCGUGUGACCGUAGUAACACACUCUAUUUUAUUUUGCGUAUUUUAUUAUGUUUUACUUGAAUGGUGUAAUGUUCUUAUGCAUAUAUAUGGUUGUUUGUUUGUGACUGUUUGUAUUCGCGGUGCGACGCGAAUAGAUUGCGAUCUGUUCCUGAGCUUCGAGGAAUCGACGGUCAAGCUUCGGCGACCAAGUGAUCUAGCUUUUCGAGUUCCACGAAGUUGAAGACCCUGAGCAUCUGUUUGGUGAAGGCAAGUGUCCUCUGACCCAUUAUG